rfam:Xenorhabdus innexi strain HGB1681 (deposited as PTA-6826 in the American Type Culture Collection) genome assembly, scaffold: XIS1_scaffold4
ACGCCCCCGAAAUUGUGUAUCAACUUGGCGGUAGACUCACAAUUCACGAGGGCGCAGGCUCAAAACUUAACAAGAGUUUAGCACAUGUACAGACAGAGACAACACCCCGCCAUAAGC